AUGUACCGCGCGUCACGCCGGCUCCUCCGCGCCGUCCGCACCCACCUGACGACUGCUCGCUACGUUUUGUUAGCC
rnacentral:sRNA from 5 species